CAACAGGGAUUGCCCCAGUAACGGCGAGUGAAGCGGCAACAGCUCAAAUUUGAAAUCUGGCCCCUCGGGGUCCGAGUUGUAAUUUGUAGAGGAUGCUUUUGGUGAGGUGCCGCCCGAGUUCCCUGGAACGGGACGCCACAGAGGGUGAGAGCCCCGUCUGGCUGGCCGCCGAGCCUCUGUAAAGCUCCUUCGACGAGUCGAGUAGUUUGGGAAUGCUGCUCAAAAUGGGAGGUAUAUGUCUUCUAAAGCUAAAUAUUGGCCAGAGACCGAUAGCGCACAAGUAGAGUGAUCGAAAGAUGAAAAGCACCUUGAAAAGAGGGUUAAAUAGUACGUGAAAUUGUUGAAAGGGAAGCGCUUGUGACCAGACUUGGGCGCGGCGGAUCAUCCGGGGUUCUCUCCGGUGCACUUCGCCGCGUCUGGGCCAGCAUCAGUUCGUCGCGGGGGAAAAAGGCUUCGGGAACGUGGCUCCUCCGGGAGUGUUAUAGCCCGUUGCAUAAUACCCUGCGGUGGACUGAGGACCGCGCAUCUGCAAGGAUGCUGGCGUAAUGGUCACCAGCGACCCGUCUUGAAACACGGACCAAGGAGUCGUCUUCGUAUGCGAGUGUUCGGGUGUCAAACCCCUACGCGUAAUGAAAGUGAACGCAGGUGAGAGCUUCGGCGCAUCAUCGACCGAUCCUGAUGUUCUCGGAUGGAUUUGAGUAAGAGCAUACGGGGCCGGACCCGAAAGAAGGUGAACUAUGCCUGUAUAGGGUGAAGCCAGAGGAAACUCUGGUGGAGGCUCGCAGCGGUUCUGACGUGCAAAUCGAUCGUCAAAUAUGGGCAUGGGGGCGAAAGACUAAUCGAACCUUCUAGUAGCUGGUUCCGC
rnacentral:rRNA from 1 species